rnacentral:rRNA from 1 species
AGUGAACGCUGGCGGCGUGCCUAAUACAUGCAAGUCGAACGGAGUGGCGCACGGGUGAGUAAUAUAUAGCUAAUCUGCCCCUUGCUGGAGGACAACAGUUAGAAAUGACUGCUAAUAAUCCAUAGCAAGGGAUGAGACUAUAUCGUAUCAGCUAGUCGGUGGGGGACCGGCCUACCGAGGCUAUGACGCGUAACUGGUCUGUGAGGAUGAUCAGUCACAUUUGAACUGAGACACGGUCCAAACGCCUACGGGAGGUAGCAGUAGGGAAUAGUGCGCAAGGGGGGAAAACCUGACGCAGCUACGCCGUGUGGAGGAUGACACUUGUCGGAGCGUAAACUCCUUUUGUUAGGGAAGCGGUACCUAACGAAUAAGCACCGGCUAACUCCGUGCCAGCCGCCGCGGUAAUAC